CCCUGAUCGGGGUGGGAGACCGUGUCAGGUGGGCAGUUUGACUGGGGCGGUCGCCUCCCAAAGAGUAACGGAGGCGCCCAAAGGUUCCCUCAGAAUGGUUGGAAAUCAUUCGAAGAGUGUAAAGGCAGAAGGGAGCUUGACUGCGAGACCUACAAGUCGAGCAGGGACGAAAGUCGGGCUUAGUGAUCCGGUGGUUCCGCAUGGAAGGGCCAUCGCUCAACGGAUAAAAGCUACCCCGGGGAUAACAGGCUUAUCUCCCCCAAGAGUCCACAUCGACGGGGAGGUUUGGCACCUCGAUGUCGGCUCAUCGCAUCCUGGGGCUGUAGUCGGUCCCAAGGGUUGGGCUGUUCGCCCAUUAAAGCGGUACGCGAGCUGGGUUCAGAACGUCGUGAGACAGUUCGGUCCCUAUCCGUCGCGGGCGCAGGAAAUUUGAGAGGAGCUGUCCUUAGUACGAGAGGACCGGGAUGGACGCACCGCUGGUGUACCAGUUGUCCUGCCAAGGGCACCGCUGGGUAGCUAUGUGCGGAAGGGAUAAGCGCUGAAAGCAUCUAAGCGUGAAGCCCCCCUCAAGAUGAGAUUUCCCAUUGCAUAAGCAAGUAAGAUCCCUCGAAGAUGACGAGGUAGAUAGGUCCGAGGUGGAAGCGUGGCGACACGUGCAGCUGACGGAUACUAAUCGAUCGAGGACUUAACCAAU
rnacentral:rRNA from 1 species